GUGUAAACCCUAAAUCCUCAUGUUUACGAACGGUGGUUAUCCGAUUGUUGUUGUUGUUUGUUGAUUUGAACGUUGAAGAAGAAUGAAGGUGUGUUAGGGUGUUGGCUGGAUCCGAAAUGCUUUUUAGGGUUACGCAUGACGGAGAGGAUGAGACUACUUCAUUAACGUUUGGUGUUGGAAGACUACCUAAAUGGUAGCCGUAUCGAUGAUGAUGUUUAGUUAGUGAAGUGGUUAGUCGGUGUAAGUACAUCCAACUGCAAAGGUGUAAGGCUUAUGGAUUGUAUCAUCCUAGAUGGUGCUGAAAUACAUGUACGAUUUGCC
rnacentral:lncRNA from 1 species